rfam:Equus caballus chromosome 24, whole genome shotgun sequence.
UCUUUAGCAUAAGUAUAUCCCAUACCAUAUUUGGGACAUACUUAUACUAAAA